rnacentral:lncRNA from 1 species
GCAUGAAUGGAUAUGGAAGUGGCGCCAUGGCCAGUCUAGGGGUCCCUGGCUCGCCUGGAUUUCUUAAUGGCUCCUCCGCUAACUCUCCCUACGGCAUGCCGUCCAGCCCCACCAUGGCAGCCUCUUCGGUCACCCUCCCUUCAAACUGUAGCAGCACACACGGCAUUUUCUCAUUCUCACCUGCCAAUGUCAUCUCCGCAGUGAAACAGAAGAGCGCCUUCGCGCCCGUGGUCCGGCCCCAAGCCUCUCCUCCUCCUUCCUGCACCAGCGCCAACGGGAACGGACUGCAAGCUAUGUCUGGGCUGGUAGUCCCGCCAAUGUGAGGGACUUCUGUUUACCUUCCGCAGCACCCAGCAUCAAAGGACGGACUUCAGGGGACACGUUUAGUAUAUUAAGACAUGCUGAUGGAAACAGUAUCUUCAAAAAAAUCAGCAGCAAUUGAAAUGCUACAAAAGACUUUGUUUAAAGAUUUUAUUUAAACUAUUAAGAAUCAACAUGCAAACAGCCUACUUCUUCAUGAACAAUUCCAUUUUAUUGACUGAACUUUUCUCAUAUUUUCACAUUUCUCAGUCCUGAAGAAUAAGGAAAACAAAGCGACGCCUAUUUUGUAUAAAGUUUCCGACUCCGUCUUGGCCAUGUCUAGUAAUUGCUAUGUGUUGGGAGAAACUUUGUGAAUGCACCAUUUUGAUGAUCAUGAAACGCUGAUGAAAAAUGCCUCCAAACAUUUUUCUGUACUCAUACUUAGAUUCACAAUGGUUGUGUAUCUCUAUAAUGUGAAAUAUUUUUUUGUGGUGAUAAAAAGGGGGCCAAGGAGGUAUGAGCCAUCAGACUGGAAAAAAGGAUGACUAUAUGAUGAGGAGAAACUGGGGUGGCAGGG